GACGUAGGGUGCAAGCGUUGUCCGGAAUCAUUGGGCGUAAAGAGUUCGUAGGCGGUUUCUCAAGUCUGGUGUUAAAUACGGGAGCUCAACUCCCGCAUGGCAUUGGAAACUGGGUGACUAGAGUGUGGUAGAGGUUACGGGAAUUCCUGGUGUAGCGGUGAAAUGCGUAGAUAUCAGGAGGAACACCGGUGGCGAAGGCGGCAUCCUGGACCGACAUUGACGCUGAGGCGCGAAAGCCAGGGGAGCAAACGGG
rnacentral:rRNA from 1 species